GAUGAACGCCGGCGGCGUGCUUAACACAUGCAAGUCGAGCGGAAAGGCCCUUCGGGGUACUCGAGCGGCGAACGGGUGAGUAACACGUGAGUAACCUGCCCCCGACUCUGGGAUAAGCCUGGGAAACUGGGUCUAAUACCGGAUAUGACACCUUCCCGCAUGGGGCGGGUGUGGAAAGUUUUUUCGGUUGGGGAUGGGCCCGCGGCCUAUCAGCUUGGUGGUGGGGUAGUGGCCUACCAAGGCGACGACGGGUAGCCGGCCUGAGAGGGCGACCGGCCACACUGGGACUGAGACACGGCCCAGACUCCUACGGGAGGCAGCAGUGGGGAAUAUUGCGCAAUGGGCGGAAGCCUGACGCAGCGACGCCGCGUGGGGGAUGACGGCCUUCGGGUUGUAAACCUCUUUCAGCAGGGACGAAGUUGACGUGUACCUGUAGAAGAAGCGCCGGCUAACUACGUGCCAGCAGCCGCCGUAA
rnacentral:rRNA from 1 species